rnacentral:misc_RNA from 1 species
AACUCUCAACCCCCAAUGUUUUGAAAGAAGCAUUGCUUGGGUUUGGUUCUUGGGCUAUUACUUGCUGCUUAAUUGUCAGCUAGCCUUAAAGAUAUUAGCUGGACUCGAGCUUUCGAGUGCCUUCAACGCUUGAUGUGAUAAAUGUUACGUCGUGCUUGGAGUGCUCAACUGCUUAUUAGAGUCCGCUUCUAAUACGGCGAGAAGACUAAACCCUUCGACCCACUAUUUUAAU